rnacentral:lncRNA from 10 species
GCGCGGCCAGUCAGCCCUGCGGUGCGGUGGGCAUUGCCAGAGCAGGGCGCCCCCUGCAGGGACGCACCCGGGGCGGGGGCCAGGCUGGGGCGAGCCCCCCUUGGUUCUGGAGAGGAAAUGACAUACAGUUUGUGAAAGCAUAAAUAUUCGUGAAAAUAAGAAAAUUCAGGAAGGAAACAAAGCUUAAGGCAGUGAUUGAUAGGUUAUUUCUUGGACACAGCUGAACGUAUACUGUGCGCCUGCAACUUUCCGGUGGUUUCGGACCGGACUUCAGUGAAGCCAGUGAAGUCGGUCGACUUGCAGAACUUCCUUUCAGAGGGGCGUACACAGCACCGCGGCCGUGUGCCUGUGAUCUCCUUCUGAGUUUGAAAAAGAAGAUCCUAGACACCGAGCCAAAUAUGUUUGCAUAAACCGGGAGACUUGUGGCUCUAUUUUGUAACAGCUUGGCGCAGGGCAGCUGGUUUGGAGAUGUCUCUGUUCUUCCCUUGGUGGGGGUGCCGGAAAAAAUGUGCUGCCUGGGCGAUCGAGGUUGGGGCAAAAGCGUUGCAAAGGAAAAGGUGGGAGGACUCUACUUUCACAUUUCCCAAAAGAGUUUUACCAUAAGACUAUUUCUGGAUUGUUCUAACGUGAGGAUAUUGGGAGCAUUUUGAAAAUACUGGAGGAAAAGCUGUCACUGGGCGAUUUAAAUCCGGUAAGUUGGCCAAGGCAGAGCAGCUGCUGGGGUCAGCGACAGCUGACCCUUGCAGCUGAGUAUCUUGCCCUCUUAAUCUUGGAGAUCAGCCCAAGGCCCAUGUGUUACAGGAAAGGGGUCCCGAUCUAGACCCCAAGAGAGGGUUCUUCGAUCUCACGCAAGAAACAAUUCAGAGUAAGUCCACAGUGCAAAGUAAAAGCAAGUUUAUUAAGAAAGUAAAGUGGUGGCUGGGCACAGUGGCUCACGCGUAAUCCCAGCACUUUGGGAGGCUGAGACGGACAGAUCACCUGAUGUCAGGAGUUCAAGACCAGCUGGCCAACAUGGCAAAACCCCGUCUCUACUAGAAAUACAAAUAUUGGCCGGGCGUGGUGGCGCAAGCCUGUUGUCUCAGCUACUCACGGGGCUGAGGCAGGAGAAUCGCUUGAACCCGGGAGGCAGAGGCUACAGUGAGCCGAGAUCGCCACUGCACUCCAGCAGGGCAUUCCUGAAAAUAAGAGGAGGGACAUAUCCAACUAAGGACUCCCGGAUGUCAUGCAUCAGCCCUAUGAGAGUCUUGCCUCUUCUUCAACACACCUGUGUUUCACCGCUGUCCUUUGAUCAGGAGUCCUGUCUGGCAAAG